UAUGAAAACAAACGAAUUUUAUAGAAAUCUACACAAAUCUAAUUGUCACAUUUAUCACGUGGAUGGGAUGUAAAAGAUGUAGUUUUGUAAUAAUUAACCUCCCAUGGUGCUAUUCAACGAGCACCGACCGAUGACAAAGCAGCUUUCUAUAUUAUCAACCGUUUAGUGUAAUUAGAAAUGAGACACCGACAAAGCGAGUCACUGCUACACUAUACCUGAUUGGUUUUGUAGCAAACCUCGUCUUUUCCCACCAACUUGGCUCGCAGGGAAUCAUGGGACGCCAACCGAUAUUAAAAUUUCUUCUCAAUACACAGGUGAUGAGCAUAAAAGAUUGGAUCGGUGCUCUAUACACACACAACACACAUUAUUUUUCCUACUGUUUGGGCUUAUACUACUACAACUCUUAUCAACCAAUAUACCUUAUACAUCAAUUACAACCGAAAUGAGUUCACCAUAUUUAACUAAUCCAUCCCCUUUGCCUCUACUUCCACACGGUCCUACGAGUAUAUGCGUACAAGAUUGCUUAUUAAUUCGUAGAAGACAGCGUCGCAGCAGAACUACUUUUAGUCCUCAACAACUAAACGAAUUAGAAGCUUUGUUUCAGAAGACUCAUUAUCCUGACGUUUUCCUUCGAGAAGAUGUUGCUAGAACUAUAAAUCUUUCAGAAGCAAGAGUUCAGGU